UGGGGGGAUAUUGCACAAUGGAGGAAACUCUGAUGCAGCGAUGCCGCGUGAGGGAAGAAGGUUUUCGGAUUGUAAACCUCUGUGGAGGGGGACGACAAUGACGGUACCCCUUUAGGAAGCCACGGCUAACUACGUGCCAGCAGCCGCGGUAAUACGUAGGUGGCGAGCGUUGUCCGGAAUUACUGGGUGUAAAGGGAGCGUAGGCGGGAAGGCAAGUCAGAUGUGAAAGGCUGGGGCUCAACCCCGGGACUGCAUUGGAAACUGUCGAACUAGAGUGCCGGAGGGGUAAGCGGAAUUCCUAGUGUAGCGGUGAAAUGCGUAGAUAUUAGGAGGAACACCAGUGGCGAAGGCGGCUUACUGGACGGUAACUGACGUUGAGGCU
rnacentral:rRNA from 1 species